rnacentral:tRNA from 1 species
AGCAGUGUGGCGUAGUGAUCUGAGUGUUGGACUAGGACUCUGGAGACCAGAGUUCAAUUCCCAGCAAAGCCA